UGGCUCUACCCUCCAAGGCCCAGUGUCGCCAGCUGUUGGGUGGCCUCCCCUCCCAGAGUCUGUGCGGCCAGGCAAGGUGCCUGGCACUGCCCGCAUCUAUGGCGUCAGCAGGGGCGUCAGGUUCACCCUGCCAACCUCCUCGAGUCCCCCUGGCCCCAAGCCCACCAUCAUUCAGCCGGCAACACCCAUGAGCCUCGGAGGCAGCACCCUGCGUGGAAAUGGCCCUCGCCCAGGGACGGGCAGACCAGGACCUGCCUAGACACCUAGGAGGUGUCGAGCUGCGGGGAGAAACACACGCAUGACCAGGGAGCCACAGCGGGACAUUGGGCCCGACUCGGAGUGGGGAGGACAGGAAGGCUCCCCAGAGGGAGAAGCAUGGCAGGAGGUAAAGUGAGAGGUGGAAUGGGGACUGGACCAACAAGAGCUGGGACUGGAGCUGCACCAAGCACACAGUAGGUGCCCAGUUAAUGCCUGGUGAGUGAAUGAAUGGACCCUAUGAGGCAGGAGAAGACCGAACCCUAGAGAGAAGGUAUCCCUCCAAGGUGGCAGGUGGGAAGCUGCAGAGCAGGAUGCCCCCAUUUUUGCCUGUCCUGACCUAGGCCCUGCCCUGCCUUCAUGGUUGGGAAGAGGUGGAUCUAGCUGGGAAGGGCAGAGCCCUGGCCCCCAGUGGCCCACCGCUCCCUACAUGGGGUAGACGCCUCCCCACGUCUGAGCUUAUAACCAGGAGUGGGCUCUGGCCUUGGGGCUGCCGCGAGCCAGAGGGCACUGGAACAGCCAACCCCAGGACCCCAGCCGAACCGUCGGGGGCAGCCCCUGGGGGCAGAGGAGCAUCCUCCCGCCUGGCUGCAGCGGGACACGGCCCAGUCAGAGGCCCAGCUGGGAACUGGGUGUCGAGCCAGGGCCAGCCAGUGUUAGGAUUGCCAGGCUGUCCACCCCUCUGGCUCCUAGCGACUGGCGGGGGACUCCACAGCCGGGCUGAGCUCUGGGCACCUGUGAGCCAAAACCGCUCAGAAACCACAAGGCCAAUAAAUCCACUUUCUAAAGUGGCCAGUGAGAGAGGGAGGCACUGCGGUUUGGGUUCUAGCAGCCCCAGCCCACUUAAAGCACCAAAAGGCCUGGGGUUGGGGGAUGUGCCCUGACCUGUCCCCAAGUCCUAAGCCUUGGGUGGACUGCGGGUGACAGGAAUGCAGUAAGGACCCUUUCAUGUGUCCAGCGCUGUCCUGGCCCUCAGAGGCCUAACACCUGGGCACCUCUCUUCCCAAAAGGCAACGAGAGCCUUGUUCCAGCCGGUGGGGGGUGGGCUGAAGCCACAAGGUGAGCAAGUGGCACAGCCAUGCCAACCAGACAGCAGUAGGACCCAACCCCUGGCCCACACCAUCUUCCUCUCACAGACCAGGUGUUCGCAGGACAGGACUGGCUGUCCCUCCGUCCCUCAGCCCACAGUGCUUGCACAGCACCCUAGACCUACCGUCGCUGAGUGCCACAGACCCCAUCGCCCGGGAGCUGGGCCCCACGACACCAGGCAGGACCUCUUAGCCAUCAAACAGCCAUCCAGCUAAAAGGCAGAGAGCAGCGUCACAGGUGACCCAGAGGAGACGCCACUCCCCAGAGGCCGAGGAAGACUCCAAGACUUUUUUCACAGGAAUCUAUUUUUCCCUAGUCUUCCCACCAUGACUGAGCGCUUUAUAAAGCACCAUUGGAUAUGACCCCAUCUCAUCUCCAGGAACCCACCAUGAAACAAGUGUCAUCACCACAUCUUACAGGUGAGGAAACUGAGGCUGGGGGAGGUGACAGGACAUGGCCAGGACCACAGCCCAGAGCCGCAGCAUUUGCUCCUGUGAGCACCCAUCUGCCUUGCUCUGAGGGAGAGCCAAGCUCUGCCCCUCCCCACCUCCCACUGCCCAGCAGAGCAGCAUCUCCUGCCUCAGACUCCUUCUGACUGGCCAGCCUGGAUCACCUGGUUCCAGUGGGCAGUGGACCCGGCACAGGCAAACAACCCCUGGGGGCAGAGCACCCCGUCAGACAGACUCAGACUCGCUGUGGCCUGAGCCUCCCUGUGCCUCUUCAAAAGGGGGAGGCGCUUGUGCAGGUGUGGUUCUGCAGGUGUGGUUCUGCAAGGGGGAGGCGCUUCUGCAGGUGUGGUUCUGCAGGGGGAGGCGCUUCUCCAGGUGUGGUUCUGCAGGGGGAGGCGCUUCUGCAGGUGUGGUUCUGCAGGGGGAGGCGCUUGUGCAGAAGUGGUUCUGCAGGUGGAGGCGCUUGUGCAGAAGUGGUUCUGCAGGUGGAGGCACUUCUGCAGGUGUCGUUCUGCAAGGGCUCAGGACAGCUAUCUAGGGAGGGCUGCUUCCCUGUAACAGUCCUUUGGCUGCAGGGUCAACCUCAGAGGAGGCCCCCACCCCUAAGGGACCCCCAGUUCCUCACUCAUUGCCCUGGUGAGGGGUCCGCCAUCCAGGGGCUUCCCCUGGGCCUUCCACCUCAGAAUCAGAUUUUCCUGGGCCCCGCUCAGCCUCAGGCUCACCAAGCCCCCCACCUCACAUGGGGAGGCAGGAACACCCCAGACUGGUGCCCAGGGGUGGGUCAGGCUCAUGGCUCAUCAGUCAUGUGCCCUGGACAGCCAGAGCCCUCCCUGGGCCUCAGUGCCUUGUAAACAGGAGAGGGGCCUAAGAAGCUGGUGUGUGACUGGGUUCUCAGUGCAUUGAUGGUGACAGCACUGUCCUCUCAGGAGGGCUCAGGUCCCCAUGCUCACUCGGGCCUCAGCCUGGCUGCUGGGCUCCCUGCCGGGUUCUGGGUGGGCAAUGCCGGUCUCUGGGCCCGCACCUGCUACUCAAUUCAUGUCAUGACCGUGGGACCCCAAGCAGAAGCCAGAACCUUCCAGAAGUUCAAAGGUGAGCCACCCCAUCAGAGAGCCCUGCUGUCCAGCUCCACCAAGUUCAGGGGCCUGUCCAGGACGCCUGUCCACCUUGGGGCCCACGCUCUGCAUGGAGCACCAAGGCAAGUUAAAAGUUGUAUUGAUUGAACACGAGUGUAAGUAGUAAAAGUUCUCCUGAUGUAACCCACUUUUUCUUAAUGGGUAAUCUCAGACACUCGAGUUUGUAUGGUAAAGGAGGUUUAGGACAAUUUAAUAGCUCAUAAAAUUUUAUAGUCCCAGUUGAAAUCAGAGUGCUAACUCCAGCCUGCUCAGCGAUAGAGCUGUCGUUUGCUAAAUGCCUCUCAUCUAUUUUUUCCCCCAUUUAUUGGAAAGUUAACAUCUGCUCUGUUAUGGUCGGGGCGAGGGGGGUCGGGAGGAAGGAAAAAACAUGAUCUAUUUUUUCCAGAAGAAAGGUAAGAGAUUCGGGCUCUCCUGGCAGCAUCCUCUCCCAAGCACAUGGUUUUCCUUUAAGUCAGAAAAAGGUUCAGUAAACUGGGGCUGACCCAGAGUUCACCGAACUCCACAGCAGGCGCCGGUCCCCCAUGGUGGCUGCUGAGAGAUUUGAGUCUAUCCAGGCCAAGGCCACGUCCGGGGAUCAGCCAGAAUCUGGUAGAGUCCAUUAACAGUCAUGCCCUGGUAAUUUAUGAAGCACCUACUGUGUGCAUGGUCGGGGGUGGGGAGGGGUGCAAAGAAAUAGGACACAAGCUCACCAGCUCCGGAGGAACUUACCCCCCCUCGGAAGCUAAAACUUCAGAAGCAAAAGGGACGAGGGCUCCGGGAAGAGGCCGGGGCCCCAGGGGUGUGUAAAAUGCAGGCGGAUGGAAGUAACGGAGCCUGGGGUUCUGCCUGCCAUGCUCACCAGCAAGUCCCUGACCUUGGAGAGCCUCAGCGUCCUUGUCUUUCAAAUGAGAACCACACUGGCGCCUACAUCGUAGGGUCAGCGUGAGGAUAAAAUAAAGUAUGGAAAACAGCCGGUAGCUGGAACUUGAGACAUGUUACCAAAAAGAGAGAGAUUGAGAAAAACAGUUUGGCAGUUCCUGAAAAAGUUAGACAUAGAAUCAGCCUAGCGCCCAGCGUGCCACCCCUAGGGUUACAGUAUGCCCAGGAAAAUUGAGAACUGGCACCCAGGCAGCUCCACAUACACACGGGUUCACAGCAGUGCCAUUCACCGCUGCCAAGAGAUGGAAACAUCCAGAGGCCCUUCCCCGGAUGAAGGAUAAAUAGAAUGUGGCUCAUCCUCCUCCCUGCAGUGGAAUGCGAUUCAGCCAUGAGAAGGAGCAAGGCACUGACACAGGCCACAAUGUCGAUGAACCCUGGAAACACCAUGCUCAGUGAAAGAAGCCGGACAUGAAAGGCCAAUCUGGUGUGAUUCCAUUUACACGGAAUAACCAGAACUAGUAAAUCCCUGGAAAUAGAAAGCAGGCCAGGUGAUGUGUGGCUCACGGCUGUAAUCCCAGCACUUUGGGAGGCCAAGGCAAGCAGAUCACUUGAGCUCAGGAGUUUGAGACUAGCCUGGGCAACAUGGCAAAAUCCAUCUCCACAAAUACAAAAGAAUUAGCCACGUGUGGUGGCAUGUGUCUGUGGUCCCAGCUACUCAAGAGGCUGAGGUGGGAGGAUCGCUGGAGCCCAGGAAGUUGAGGCUGCAGUGAGCCAAGAUUGCACCACUGUAUUCCAGCCUGGGUGACAGAGUAAGACCCUGUCAGGAUAGGAAAUGAAAGGAGAGGAGAGGAGAGGAGAGGAGA